UAUCAACAUUUUUUAAAAUCCUUUGGUCCUUGCUUGAUGAUUGACUUCUCUUGCAGAUAUCGACUUCUCUUGCAGAUAUCAAUCUUGCACGAAGAUGGCUUUCAACCUAUUUGGUGUGACAUCCUUUGAAUAGUCCAUUACGCGGACAUGUUUAUUUCUUCCUACAGUAUAUACAAGAUUUGAGCACAUUGAAGAUGCUACUCUUUACCUUGAUGCUGCAUCUACAUAAAGUUUCCAAUUUGUUGGGGCAGUUCAUGUGUUGCUAGACCUGGGAGUUUGUGUUGUUUGCAAUUUGAAGAGCAUGUGUUUUGUUGACGUAGUAAGCUAAUAGUGUCAUGUAUAUCUUAAAAUAUCUUUUAUUGCUUCUUUCAAUCUUCUAUGGGUAAGAUUAAAUGACUUCACAUGUGAACAUUUCAUAAAUAGAUAUGUUUGUAUCAAUAUGUGUGUGUGGCGUACAUGUUUGCAGGUGUCCCAGCUUUUGUAGCUAACUUAUUCAACCCAUGUCAAGCAUGUUGUAAUUUACUAAUUUGAAUUUGCUUUGAAUCCUAGGUGGUAGUUCAGAACUAAAAAUCUGAUGCUGGAAGGAAAAUAGUGGUCAUCAUCUCAACAUUUGUUUGUUAAGCAAGAUUUGUAGCUAAGUACUACCUGAUAUCUCAUCAGUCAUCCCUCUAUCACUUGAGCCAAGGCCCAAUUGCAACAUCUUACCUAGUAUUUUUUAUUGUUAUUUUUGGUGAAGUGUAGUUACUUUUUUUCCCCUUUGGGUAAAUUAGUCAAUUGUAAGUAUUACAUUACUAUAUUUCAAUAUAUAUUGUCGUCAUUGUUGAACGCAUUA